UACGUAGGGUGCAAGCGUUAAUCGGAAUUACUGGGCGUAAAGCGUGCGCAGGCGGUUUUGUAAGACAGAUGUGAAAUCCCCGGGCUCAACCUGGGAACUGCAUUUGUGACUGCACAGCUGGAGUGCGGCAGAGGGGGAUGGAAUUCCGCGUGUAGCGGUGAAAUGCGUAGAUAUGCGGAGGAACACCGAUGGCGAAGGCAAUCCCCUGGGCCUGCACUGACGCUCAUGCACGAAAGCGUGGGGAGCAAACAGG
rnacentral:rRNA from 1 species